GUCCUGUUCACCUUGUCUAACGUUACUUACAAUGUGCUCGGUCCUGUUGGCUCUGGAUCUGCAGCACAGAGGAUAUUUGCUGUAGUAAACCACUACCAGCAACAGGAUCACCAAACCGAUGACGACACAGGAGCCUGAGGAAGAGGAGGAGUAUGACUUUGUCACUGCUUCAGAUGUACAGAGAUGUGCAGAGGGAUGCAUGGAGGGAAUUCCCUUCUUAAACACACUACAGAUGAAACACGGGAAAGCUAGAUGUAAAAUCGUAUUGAAGCAGAACCUUCUCUCAAAAAAAUCUACAAUGUAUAUUGCUUCUUGUGCAUGUUUCAGAUUUACACCUCAGUAUAAGAUGUGCCUGCUAAACUCCUGCCAUUUGUAAUAUUUCAGUCCUGAAUCUGACUCGAGUGUGUUUAAAAAAUGUAACUUUUGCUGAUGAUUUCGGAGAGAAUGUAUGACAGUGUACAAGAAGCUGUUUCCUUUGUUUCAGUAGCCUAUGCUGAUUGACGAGUCAGUUUGUGAGAUCAAAUAUAUAGUUUAUGCAAAGGAUCAUGUAUAGUGAGGUGGUGGCUAUUGAAAGGAUUCUAUUUUUUACAUAACCUGUGGCUUUAAGCUCAGUCCAUAUCAUAGUGAAUGUAAUUUCUUCUCAUCCCUAAAAAGUGUCCUAAUGUCCAGUGAAUCCUCCUAACAGUGCUCUCUGUAUUAAAUUCCCAUCCCACAGCGUCCUGAAGGACCAGGAGAUCAAUAAAAGCUGACCAUUAGCUAAGUAUUGAUUUAAAGAUAAUUUUAACAAUUUAAGAAUGAUUUAUUCACACAGCCCCCCAGAGAAGUCUCUCAGCUCAAGCGGUCAGUUGACAACAAUACACUUAGCAGCAUACUUGUGAGUCAAAACUGGUCUCAUACACAAUAAAGUCUAAACAUGAGCAAUGUUCUGUUGUCAGUAAAUAAAAACAGCUCCUCUAUAAGCUCCCUGUAA